rnacentral:rRNA from 1 species
UACGUAGGGUCCGAGCGUUGUCCGGAAUUAUUGGGCGUAAAGAGCUCGUAGGCGGUUUGUCGCGUCUGCUGUGAAAUCCCGAGGCUCAACCUCGGGUCUGCAGUGGGUACGGGCAGACUGGAGUGCGGUAGGGGAGAAUGGAAUUCCUGGUGUAGCGGUGGAAUGCGCAGAUAUCAGGAGGAACACCGAUGGCGAAGGCAGCGCGCUGGGACGGUACUGACGCUAAGGCGCGAAAGCGUGGGGAGCGAACAGG